rnacentral:misc_RNA from 1 species
GAUGAAGAACGUAGCGAAAUGCGAUACGUAAUGUGAAUUGCAGAAUUCAGUGAAUCAUCGAAUCUUUGAACGCAUAUUGCGCUCUCUGGUAUUCCGGAGAGCAUGCUUGUUUGAGUAUCAGUAAACACCUCAACUUCCAUAUCUUUUUUGAAAUGGGAGUUGGACUUGAGUGAUCCCAACGCUUUUCCUCACCGAAAAGUAGCGGGUUACUUGAAAUGCAGGUGCAGCUGGACUUUUCUCUGAGCUAUAAGCAUAUCUAUUUAGUCUGCCUAAAAAACAGAUUAUUACCUUUGCUGCAGCUAACAUAAAGGAGAUUAGUUCUUGUGCUGACUGAUGCAGGAUUCACAAAGACGGCUUCGGCCGACUUUGUAAACUCGAUCUCAAAUCAAGUAAGACUACCCGCUGAACUUAAGCAUAUCAAUAAGCGGAGGA